rnacentral:rRNA from 1 species
GAUGAACGCUGGCGGCGUGCCUAAUACAUGCAAGUCGAGCGAACGGACGAGAAGCUUGCUUCUCUGAUGUUAGCGGCGGACGGGUGAGUAACACGUGGAUAACCUACCUAUAAGACUGGGAUAACUUCGGGAAACCGUAGCUAAUACCGGAUAAUAUUUUGAACCGCAUGGUUCAAAAGUGAAAGACGGUUUUGCUGUCACUUAUAGAUGGAUCCGCGCUGCAUUAGCUAGUUGGUAAGGUAACGGCUUACCAAGGCAACGAUGCAUAGCCGACCUGAGAGGGUGAUCGGCCACACUGGAACUGAGACACGGUCCAGACUCCUACGGGAGGCAGCAGUAGGGAAUCUUCCGCAAUGGGCGAAAGCCUGACGGAGCAACGCCGCGUGAGUGAUGAAGGUCUUCGGAUCGUAAAACUCUGUUAUUAGGGAAGAACAUAUGUGUAAGUAACUGUGCACAUCUUGACGGUACCUAAUCAGAAAGCCACGGCUAACUACGU